ACUGUAGGGUUUGUUUUGUUUUUCUCUCUUACAGAAAUAGUUUUGUAUCCAGAUUUUUUCCCGAGAUGCAAAAGGCAUCUUUGUAUUAAUGUUCCCAGUGCCUUUCUCCUUUCUAGAUCUCAUUUUAUUGAGAAGUUAUCUAACAUAACUAACUAAAAUCUCUUAGUAUGAGGGAAGCCCAAAGGUUCCAGGAUACAUGCCACCAUUAAAGUUAAAAAGUGAGCUAGUGGCUCAACUCCAGUGCCCAGUGGAUACAGGAUGGAGGUGGACAGGACAGAGAUGGCAUCUGACAAGGGACAGCAGAGGCUGCAGACCCUCCAGGCAUAGAUUUCUCUAGGGCAGUGGUUCUCAACCUGUGGGUCAAGACCCCUUUGAGGCAUCAAAUGGACCUUUCCCAGGGGUUGCCUAAGACCAUCGGAAAACAAAAGGUCAAGACUGACUCUUAGGACUGAGAAGGCCUCCAGACUACUUAAGCAUGAGAGUCGGGAGAAAGUAAAUAGAAAAAGAAAGACAAGCAUCGUUUUAGAAGAAGAGAACAUUGGCUCCAAUGUAUCCCUGGAAAUGCAAAACAAAAGACAAGGGAUUCCAUUUGCACCUCAAGAUGGCUGCACGGGGAUUCACAUUUGUUGCCUGUGUGGGAAGUGGAAGGAGAGAACAGCAACCAUUACCUAGAUGAUUGUCACUGCUCACCACAUGUCUCAGAACCAGAAUGAAGGGAUCCCCAUCUAAGGAAAGGAAAUCAGGGCGAGGAGGAGGCGCACAAGGAAGGGAGAACGGUUAGCAGGUGCCGUAAAUCCCAAGGUCACCAUGGGAAGCCUUCAUCCUAGGAUCUUCAGCACUGUGCUUUUCUCCCCAUGAAAAUGGUCUGAAAGUGCUAUUGUGUCAGAGCCAGAGAUUCCUUUAGGUGCCUGGUCUAUUAUAGGCAGAUAUUCAUCUUAAAGUCCUCUUGCUUUAAUAGUCAUCUUAGGACAUGUCCUAUCUCCUCUAGUUUACUAAAGGGCUGAACUAAUGAACUUCUUUAGUAAGAAGCUAUAGCGUGGCAAUUGAGCAGUAGCCAAGGCAUACUAACAACAGAUUGCACACAGGAGGCCUAAUCUUCAUUGUCAGCUUCAUCGGAUUUAUGAUCUCUUAGGAUGCCCACUUUGGUAUGUCUGUGAGGACCUUUCCAGAGAGGUUUAACAAAGGAAGGGAGACUCUCUCUAAACUGGUGCCGAGAGGCCUGAACAAAGGGAGAGAAAACAACAAUAAAAACAGUAACAACAGGAUAGCCAGAUGAGUCCCAACAUUGAUGGCGCUUGGCUCCCUGACUGUGGAUACAAUGUGACCACCUGCCUCCGGCUCCCACCCAGGAGUUGCAAUUGAACCUUCCUUUGUUAAGCUGCUUUUUGCCAGGUGGCAGGGAUUACAAGCGUUGCUAAAACAGCAUAUUUGAAUAUUGCUCAGAGCAUACAUUUUCAGUGUUCUCACCACCCAAAAAUAAGUCAGUAAGACAAUGCACCUUUGCACCUUUUGUGGUUUGAGUUGGGCUUCUACAACCCAUGCAAAUACCAAAAGCAUCCUGUUGCAUACUGUAAACACAUACAAUUUAUAUGUGUGAGCAAAUAAGUCAAUCCUUUACUAGCAAAACUUCACACUAAAUAUUAAAACAGUUUUAUAGGAACUAUCUUACAUAAUAAAACAAAAUUUUUUUUAACAAAAACUUUUUAAUGAUACAUUUAUAUUGUACUUAACACAACCCUGGAUGAAUCAAAAUGAUAUCUUUGUAAAGUUCAAACAUAAUUUGCAUGAAAUGUCAUCUUUUUCAAAUAAAGUAUACGAUAGUUUUGUGUUUGGCUUUUGCAGUAUGGUCAUAAAGAAAGGAG
rnacentral:lncRNA from 1 species